rnacentral:tRNA from 1 species
GGAGAGAUGGCUCAGCGGUUAAGAGCACUGACUGCUCUUCCAGGGGUCCUGAGUUCAAUUCCCAGCAACCACA